rnacentral:rRNA from 1 species
GUGAGGAAUAUUGCGCAAUGGAGGCAACUCUGACGCAGCCAUGCCGCGUGCAGGAAGAAGGCGCUACGCGUUGUAAACUGCUUUUAACCGGGAAGAAACCCCAGGACGUGUCCUGGGUUGACGGUACCGGAGGAAUAAGCACCGGCUAACUUCGUGCCAGCAGCCGCGGUAAUACGAAGGGUGCAAGCGUUAUCCGGAUUCAUUGGGUUGAAAGGGUGCGUAGGCGGAGCGUUAAGUCAGUGGUGAAAUCCUGCAGCUUAACUGUAGACUUGCCAGUGAUACUGGCGCUCUUGAGUGCGCUUGAAGUGGGCGGAAUGUGCCGUGUAGCGGUGAAAUGCUUAGAUAUGGCACAGAACACCAAUUGCGAAGGCAGCUCACUAAGGCGAUACUGACGCUGAGGCACGAAAGCGUGGGGAUCGAACAGGAUUAGAAACCCGGGUAGUCC